rnacentral:lncRNA from 1 species
GCCGCCAUUAAAGAAGGUGUAAUCCUGCUGUGGGUAUUCUCGUUUCAUCUUUUUUUUCUUUUUUCUUCUUCAGAGUCUUUUCUGUAGAACUUAAAUCCACCGAUUGGGGAUCGGGAAAAGGGGUAUGGGUUAACAAUCUGUGAAUGGGUGGAAGAAUCUGAGCAUUUGUGAUUGGGGGAAGCGAUGAUAGUGCGAGUGAUUAUCAGAGAGAGAAAGAUGAUAGGUGGAAGUAUAAAAAUGGUACAGCAAAUACAAGUGGUGUGGAGAUGAGAGAGAGAGAUGAAGAAACGCUCGUGAGGGGUGGGCGCGAUAAUCGAUGAACCAACAGGCGGACAACACAACACAACACAACACAACCUCAACCUCAACCUCA